UAUUUGCACUGAAUAUAAAAUCCUAUGACAACUUUUCCUUGGAGGAAAUAAGUUUUUGAAUAAAUGUGAUUAUGCAGAUAGGUCGAUUAGAUAUGCCUCUUCUUAAUAUUUUACUACUUGUGUGAGUUUAUUCUUUUACAAAGUCACUACUAUCCCACAGGAAUGCAAGCCAUUAUUUUUAAGGAUGCGCUGGAGCCCCCACAAAAAGGGUUGAGGUUUAGCACUCGAGGCAAACUCUAGGAAAGGUGCCACAGGACUCAACUGAGAUGAGGAGACCUAACGUUCACUCUCAGAAUUAGGAAAAGUGCCCCAGUGGAGGAGGCCCCUGGAGCAGGGUCUUGCACUACCGUCGGCGCUGGAGGAGUGGGAGCUGGAAGAGGAGAAUCGGAACGCCGUGCGGUGGGCCACUCCGGUCCUCGAGUGGCUUCCGUCGGGGCGCCCGGACGCCAUCUCGGUCUUUCGAGGAUGGAAGUCAGUAACUGGUACGUGUGUAUGUUUUCGCGGGUGCUAAGUGGGUUCUUGGCUCAAGGCCUCCAGGUCAUGGCAACUAAAGUCGCCCUAAACGCGCUGACUUUUAUGGGCUAGUUGCAAGCCUUUGCAGGAACCGCAGGAUGAGGAUUGUAUAGGAUUGCGUGUUGGGUGCGGGCUCGACAUAAACUCAACACUCGGUUGUAGGGCUCAACUGCGGAAGUACCUCGGCUGGCGUGCCCUGCCUCUGAUGAAGCUUAUGUUGGUAGGGACAUCUGAGACUGUUGAUGAAUGCCAACAGCUCUGAUGGCGGCGCAUGCCGAGUCGCCGAGUGGGUCUUUGUAAAUGACCUCGGCCGGAGCCACUUCCUCCAGGGAGGCGGGUAUUGGGGUAGCCCACGUGGUUCUCUGAGUGGCUGCAUUCCACACUGCACCGUUAUUGCCGUCAGUGGUUCUUAAACUUAGCUGUACAGUGCUCGUUAUAAUAUGUCUAGUGCACCCAUUAUAGUAUGAAAUUGUGGGUGAUGUAAACCACUUGCAUAAUUUAGAACAAAAUGAACUAAAACUAAUAUUUUCCCUAGGAAUGAUGCUCGGCACGAGUGCAAUGUGGCAUCUGAUGGACAGUUCUGUGCCAAAGGAAUGAGAACCGCUGCUGGGGUCUUAAGGUGCAAGCAUCACUCUCUUGUCAUGGGCAGACAGGCACUAAAAAGGACUAACUGGAAGUUGGAAUGGUGGACUUAGUCUCCUGACAUGUCUGGAGUGGCUUGACUUACUUCUUCUGUUGGAUACACAUUUUUAUCCGUGGAUGGCAUGCUUGGGAUGCACGUUUUGGAGACAUUUAAAAUAAAGGUGUGAGAAGUUGGGUUGGCUACAAGUCCAGGAGAAAAGAGUUUUAGCAGAGGCAGACCUGAAACCGUGGAGAUUUCCAGGCAUUUAUGGUAGCGGUCAUGGCAGCUGGCUGACCUUUGAGAGGCAGCUGGAUGGAUACUCAUGGGAUAGAAGAUCAACUUUGAAUUUUAAUAAAUUUUUAUAAACCAUCUGA